CAUGGCGUCCUGGAACAAGUCGGGUGAUGGUGACGAUGUAGAGUUGAUUCUGAGGAAACUGUUCGUCGGAGGAAUAAAACCAGACACUUCAGAUGAUCAGUUCAGAAACUACUUCGCUAAGUUCGGGGAUAUUGAGGACUACGUUCACAUAAGAAACAAACAGACCGGUCAGUCUAAAGGGUUCGGUUUCGUGACGUACAGCGACCCUACCAGCGUCGACAAAUGUCUGGCUGCUAAACCACACACCAUUAACCAGAAAGAUGUGGACGUAAAGAGAGCGGUACCCAAGGACCAGCCACAAGAGAGAUGUCACAAAAUCUUUGUAGGAGGAUUACCCGAAACUAACGAGGCAGAACUCAAAGCUUUCUUUGAGAAGCACGGCAAAGUUACCCAGUGCCAGUUCAAGAGAGAUCAGAAUACUGGAAGAGGCAGAGGAUUCGGCUUCGUAUCUUUUGAGGACAGUGAUACUGUGGACAAACUGGUCAUUCUCAAGCACAUAGAAUUCAACGGCAAGACAAUCGAAUGUAAGAAAGCACUGGAUGUGAAAGAUAAGCAACAUAUGGGAGGACACCAGGGAGGACACAAUCAGAACCCCUCUGUGUACGGUGCACCUCCUGCAGCUGCUGGAUACGGCCCCCCUCCCGGCUACCCUGCCCCUCCCAUGCCUGCUUACGGAGCAUACCCACCCUACGGUGGAUACGGAGGAGCUCCAGCCCAACAAGCUCCUACAGCUCCAGGAUACUCGGCCCCUGCUGCAGCUCCCUCCUACCCUGCCUACCCUGGUUAUCCAGCACAGCCCGCCUACCCUCAGCCAGCUCCUGGAUACCCUCCUGCUCCGGCUGCUAACCCUUACUACCCACAGCAGCAACCGGCUGGACAGUACAACCAAGCUCCAAGCUCUUACGGGGCCCAGAAAAACACGUACGCGUCCAACACGUACGGGAGUUCCAGAAGUGCUAACUACAAACCCUACUAAGAGGCCAAAGUCUAUGACAUGGUGUCGACGAUGCUUGCUUAUACCCAAUGGGCCAACUCUCCAAACUCCGGUACUUGGCUCUGCAAUCACGAACACAAUUCAACCUUGAGAGACACAUCUGACCUCCUGAUCAGGGAGAAAAGUUUUGAAGUCUCUAGUACUCUUCUCUACAUUGGACAACAAGUCUUUGAAUUUGAAAUCAGAUCUUCCGUUUGCAAAAGCUUAGCGAACCAAUGAACCUAUUACUCUAAGAGUGAUACGAUAUUCAAUGAUGUGAAAACUAACUCUACUCUAACUUAACUUAACUACUCUAAUAAUCCUAAUUGGAUCGAAUAUAAAGAAACAAAGUGAAUGAAGGACGUUCAUGCCAGCAGAUCCCGCUUUCCAGACAUCUUCUGCAACUCCGAACUUAAAAGAAAUCUACACACUAAUGUUUUCAAUCGGUCCAAAGGGGCUCUCUAACAUCCGCAAUUACUACCGUCCUCUAAUGCUGAAACAUCUCUGAAGAUGAAGCUCCGAAAAUGCUUCUUCGACCGAAGAUGAACAAGUUCUAAAACAACUGAAGACGCUGCUUCAAACAUGGCUCCUCUCUAGAAAGUUUUUUGUAGUGACUGAAUGCCUGAGAGAAACCCAUCGGCUGACCUAACACCUGUAUAUCGUUAUAGGAAUCUAUCUGGAGAGAUUCAAAACAACAGACUGCCUUGACUACAUAAUCUACUGCAUUCUCUUACUAAGAGAGACGUUUACCUGACGACCCAGUCUCCCUUGCACCCAGAAAGUUAUCGAGAAAACUAACAAGGAACAAGCUGGAGAAUAAAACCUCUUCUCUACACUUCUGUUAAAUUAAGUUUCCUGGAAAUCAACCAACUCUGCCGAGAAAAUUAUCUCAAAACCUUUUGUUCCUGAUCAUUCUCUAAGGAGCCGCGUUUCCAGUCUUAGGGCAAGAAUUCUCAGAAGGUUUUAACUAAUCUUCUAAGAAAAAGAAAAGCAGUCACGGACAAAAUCCUCUCUUAUCUAAUAAGAUUGUACGAGUUUGUGGCAACUAAUAGACUAUGAGAACCUUUCCCAACUCUACUUAUUCCCAUGCAUUGUUACCGCCCAACUGAAUUCGUCAGAAAUCUGAGAUUUGGAACGACAACAAAGAUCGAUGCCAAGGCGUGACGCUAUGCUCCAUCUCUCUCAAUCAGAGUUUCUCCACUCAGCUGCGAAAGUUGGAAUAACAUCGAUUCAACAGUGGAUGAACAAAACAACUGAACAAACCAGAACGAACACAUUUAUAGACUAUCUUCUUGACUAGUCUUACAAGAAUGUCAGGAGAUCGUUGCUUAAAAGUCUAGAAGUAUCUGAGGAAGUCUUACUUCGCUUAACUGUGUAUUUGUGUUGCAAGAGGAAAUCAAGAGUUACAUCAUCUUCCGGUACUCUUUCUAGAGCUUGAGUGAAACUAUGCGUAGAAGAGGGAUCCUGAUCUCUACUCCUGGGAAUUGAAGAAUGUGACAUUCAAGUAAAAGACAUUCUUACUAGAAUCACGAUACAAGAUUGGACUUCAGCAACUGCUAAAAUGGAUAACUCCACAGAAAUAAACGACAGGACCAGCUAAAAGUAAUCAGAUACUCAAGAAUCGACGAUUGACAUUAUCUGGAACAUACUAUCUCCGAAUGCCGUUGAUCUGUCUUUCUCCUUAACUGCGUGUCUAUCUCUCAACUAAUCUGAACAUCUAGGUCUGUGUUUUUGCUCGACUGAAACCUUCUCCUCCUAUAUGGACCUGCAUUCAAAGGUCGAUACCACAACUGACUAGAUCAGAUCUCAUCUAAGGUGAAGGCCUAUAAAACGUUCUCAACUAUCAUUUUAUGGGAGGUUCCACAACUGAAGUUGACUCCAACAUAACAAUUGCUCCUGUGCAACAUGACAGUGCUCACACAGAGAGAGACCCAACAAGCGCCUUACCCGGAAGGAGUUUGUACACAUUCUUCUGCUACUCAAAUGGAUCGUUCCUACAUGAAAAGAAAACACCGGAACAUCUGAGGAGCUAGUUGAAGAAGCCCUGGAAUAUCAUAAAUUGCAGGUCCCGACCUGAAGAAACCACUCUCCAAGAUCAAGACUCAUCCGGAGCCAAAUAUAAGAAGUUUAAGGAAGACUCACCACCUCUGAACCAUAACUACAGUCUAACAGAACUCUUCUAGAUUAAAGUACUGGUGUUAGCAGAGAUUCAACAUUGAAACCGAAGCUUAUUCAACCAGGACCAGCUUCGCUCAUUAAAAAUCGACGAAGAGAUCUACUAGGACGAUCACGUGAAUCCCCUAACUUCAAUCUCAUAGUGGUCCAGUUGGGUGAAACAGGAAGAAUGAAGACAUCGAAACUCUUCUAGAUUUGACAAGUGUCAGGAAUGAGUUCACUGAAUAAUGGACAACAUCAACUGCAACAUUCUUACCAGAUAGCAGAGACUAGCAAAUGCUUAGAUACACAACUUCGCUCAAAAGAUAUCACAGGCAUUGUGGAAAUGUAACACUGCCGUUUCUGUGACAUAUUUUCUGAAAUAGAACUCACAAAUAUCUUGCAAUUGUCCCAAGACCUCAACAUUCUACUCCUUAUUUUCAAGGAACGUUGCAACCUUUUCACUCCACCCUCCUCUUUACUAAUCACUGCUUGCAUCAAGCUAAAUCGUAAGCUGAUGAGGAUCCGAACCUGAAAUUGUUAACCACAACUUGUACUUUUCUUAACUAAGGUGAUCAUAUUGGCUAUCAUACUGCGAACAUCUUCAACUACAGUCUUACAGGGGACUCUCAUUUGACAUUGGACCAUUCUAAAAGUCAACAAACUGAAAUUAACAACAAAGAGAACAAUCUCAGAGGACUAAACAGCCACCAGAUAACGUCAAGCAAAAGAAGAACGGCCAAAUGCUGCCACUACUAAAAUAAUCUCCAGAGUCGAACUGAACAGGCAAAUUUCACAAGACCUCCACCGGCUCUAAUACCUGGAGUAGCUUACGUCUAUCAUGUGCAGCCGAAGGAACAAGAAGAAACUUAUCCAAAUGGACAUUUUUAUAGAACAAUGUUGUUUCUAACAUAGUAACUAUUGAAUGUUUUAUUUUCCUCUGUUA